CUCACUUCCUGUGGGAAUUUGUUAGGACACGUGCGCUCAGAAGUGGGAAGGCUGCGUCCCAGGAGGAUUCUUAACCACUGCACCACCAGGGAAGUCCCUGUUUUGCCUCUUCUUCAACUUCACAUAAAUGCAGUCAAUCCUGCAGUGGUUAAGAAUCCACCCGCCAAUGCACGAGACACGGGUUCAAUCCCUGGGCCGGGAAGAUCCAACAUGCCUCGGAGCAACUAAGCCCAUGGGGCCACAACUACUGAGCCUGCGCUCUAGAGCCUGUGAGCCACAACUAUUGAGCCCAUGGACCUAGAGCCUGUGCUCCACAAGAGAAGCCACCACAAUGAGAAGCCUGUGCACCACAACGAAGACUAGCCCCCACUCGCCACAACUGGAAAAAGCCCGUGUGCAGCAAUGAAGACCCAAUGCAGCCAAUAAAUAAAUAAAUAAAUAUUACAAAAAAAAAAAAGAAAGAAAAGACAAGACUAUCCUUUCUUCAUUGACUUGCCUUUGCAGCUUUAUCAAAAGUCACUUGACCAUACAUGUAUGGGUCCAUUUCUGGACUCUCUAUUCUGGUCUAUUGAUCUACGUAUCAAUUCUUUCACCAAUACCACACUAUAUUUAUUUCUGUAGUUUUAUAACUGCUUGAAAUCAGGUAAUGUGGGUCCUCUAACUUAGUUCUUUUUCAAAAUUGUUCAGGCUACUCUAGUUCCUUUGC